GACGAACGCUGGCGGCGCGCCUAACACAUGCAAGUCGAACGAGGUCUUUUAGGAGCUUGCUCCUGGCUGACCUAGUGGCGGACGGGUGAGUAACACGUGAGCAACCUGCCGUAAAGAGGGGGAUAACGUCUGGAAACGGACGCUAAUACCGCAUAACAAGCGGGGAAGGCAUCUUUCCUGCUUCAAAGGAGCAAUCCGCUUUACGAUGGGCUCGCGCCCGAUUAGAUAGUUGGUGGGGUAACGGCCCACCAAGUCGACGAUCGGUAGCCGGACUGAGAGGUUGAACGGCCACAUUGGGACUGAGACACGGCCCAGACUCCUACGGGAGGCAGCAGUGGGGAAUAUUGGGCAAUGGGGGAAACCCUGACCCAGCGACGCCGCGUGAGUGAUGAAGGUUUUCGGAUUGUAAACUCCUGUCUUCGGGGAAGAUAAUGACGGUACCCGAGGAGGAAGCCACGGCUAACUACGUGCCAGCCGCCGCUGUAACAC
rnacentral:rRNA from 1 species